rnacentral:lncRNA from 1 species
UUGACCACCCCAUGCCAAACAUUGUGAGUGCAUCUUUUGGUCUGCCCAUGCUGGUUGUGAAUGACUGGAGGUGCAUGGCUGACUAAUGCAAAGCGUGCUUGGCUGAAUAAUGCAGUGCUUAGCGCUCAUAUAGUUAGAACAGUUACCAUUCAAAAUUUCUGGCCGACCAGCUUGUUGGUUGUGUCAAUAAUCUCAACCAAUGUGUGCAUACAUUAUCUGGUAGGCAUUGUGAAUUAUCAGGUUGUGGUGUGGCAACGGUAUGCAAUGUGAGUUAUCAGAAAAACAAAUAGUGUCGGAUAAAUUGUAUGUACAGAUUAACAUAAGGGGAAAUGCCGGUAUGCAGUUAUCUCUGAAAUGCCACUCCUGCCUGUGGUUCUGAAAAUGCAUUGAGGUAAUUGGUAUGUGGAGCUAGCCUGCAUAUGCAGAGCUACCCCGCUCUUGCCUCUUUCAGGUAUCCAAGUUAUUGUAAAACAAGCUUCUAUUUUUCAGUCUGAUUUGGCCGGGUGGUACAUUUUAGUCUCCUCAAACUGUGGGUUUCAACUGUAAGCUUCAUGCAUGUGUCCUGCAUCCAUUUGUGCAGUUCUUGAGGUGCAUUGAGCAUGCAUAAAUUAUUUUUUAUUCAUAAAAACAAAAACAUGUUUGAUUACUUCUGUCUAUCUGGAAUGGUGGUGCAAAGUUUUGGUCUUGGCAAGUGUUUGUGUGCCUUUCACUGUUAUAUGUUGGAUUGGACUAUAUUCUUUUGAGAAAUAUAUUGCUAUCUUUUUCAUAUUUGUCAAAUGACUAUAAUAAAUAUGUUUCUCUUGUCUCCUACAGUUCUGUGGUUUAUUAAAGUUGUAGGAAUAUUAAUCUUAGUCAUGUUCUUAGGUUUAGAUUCUUUCUGAUUUCUAAAGAAUGCAAUUGUAGCUUCAAAUCUUGUUAAUUUACUUUAUUUAUUAUCUAUCUUGUUUGUGUAACUUUCUGAUUUCUUUCCUGAAUAGCUUUACAUAAUACAUGUAUUGUGUUCCAGUUCCUAGCUUAAAAUCUAUAGCCAAACAGCAUCCUUUCUCUGUAAAAUGAGAAUGCGUGGGUUCAGCCAUUCAGCCAUUCAGUUAUUUUUGCGGGUGUUGUACCUUUUGGAGCUCUAGCCGUUGAGGCGAUCAGGAAUGAGGAUGUGCCUUAGGACUUAGGGUAUGUGUUUCCAUAAUAUUUUCCUCCUGAAGCGGAACGCUUCAGGUCCUGCUCCGGUGCAUCCAUCAAAAUUACCAGUGUCCAUUUGACCUAUUAGAGAAUGCUUGUAGAUGAACUGAUUUUUGGUACUUGAUUCAUCUACACUUUAUUUCUUUUCUAUGUUAAUAGCAUCUGAAAUAUUUUCCUUUCAUUGGCAAACUAUACUACUUUUCUGAAAGCAUACCUUGCUCAUUGAAAUAACAUGGAUCAACUUACUGCAGAUCUAUUGAGGGGGAUUUGGAGAUGUUGUCUCAAGCAGAAAAGAAGGAAGUGAGAAGUUGCUUGGACAAAUUGUACCUACAUUUUGUUUGCUUUCAGGUUUAAAUUUCUGAUCCAUAGUAGUGGUGGUAACAUGUAGAUCAUUACCAUGUAGAUGUAGUUAACUCUGUAUCAGGAGCUUACACCUAAAGUUGUUUGUAAUUCCUAGAUGUAGUUAACUCUGCAUCUCCAUAUCAUUGUUUCCACCUAAAGUUUACAAGGAAGCUUGCCACCUAAACCAUCAUUUCUAUGUUGAGUUGCCGGCUGUCAUGAGAUUUCCGUUGCAUGUAUCCUUCUAAACCAAUCAGGACCAUGGUCAUUUGCAUGAGGUCCUCUCCUUGAUGUAAAUUGCAAAAUCCUUUAGUUUUUUCAGUUUCUGUUCUUCCAUUUAAAGUUGUUGCCUCAUCUAUCUCCUUUGAGGAGGACACAAGGCCUGCAAGUAAUAUUUUCCAAAUUUUUUAUUAUUUAUGAUUGCUAAUAACCUUAUUUCUCUACAGUAUAUUCUAACUAGCUAGGCACAGGCAUAAGGAUGAGUCAUUUGUUAAAAUUAUUGCUUUCAUUAAUGCAUAAUUGGGAUCUGCAAAAUAUUGGUAUUUGUUCAUAAAUCACUUUGUAUCACUCAAAUUAUUUGGUUGCCCUUAGUUCAUGAACCAUCCUCAUUGGUCACUGCACUGUUAGGCCCUUACGUUCAUGCAUCUGCAUAAAGCUUUCAUGGUAACAUUCUGGAUAUAAUCUGGUUGCAUAAGCUCUACUUAUAUCUGCCUUUCUUCUAUAAUCUUGUUGAUUUUGCAGAUUAAUGCCAGUUUUCAAGUUUUCAUAUGUUGUCAAGAAAGAAAGAAUUUUCUUACAUUCACAAGGCCAUACCUAAAUGGCUUGGUUCAGUGUGUUGGUUUCAUAUAUUGUAUUAACUAUGGCAUGUCAAUAGUGGUGCUCCCAAUGAUGAGCUGCCUAGCCAAAUGGAGGGUGGGGCACAGAGAGAGCCACAGAGAGCAUUGCCCGAACCAUGAA